UACGUAGGGUGCGAGCGUUAAUCGGAAUUACUGGGCGUAAAGCGUGCGUAGACGGUAGCGUAAGUCGGGUGUGAAAGCCCCGGGCUCAACCUGGGAAUUGCAUUCGAGACUGCUCUGCUAGGGUGCGGAAGAGGGAAGCGGAAUCUCCGGUGUAGCGGUGAAAUGCGUAGAUAUCGGAAGGAACACCAGUGGCGAAAGCGGCUUCCUGGUCCAGCACCGACGUUCAGGCACGAAAGCGUGGGGAGCAAACAGG
rnacentral:rRNA from 1 species